AAACAUGUCUUAUAGAUUUUAAUUUUAAGUCUGACCUGCUCAAUGAUUAAUAUUAAAUUGCUAUAGUAUUUUAACUAUACAAAGGUAGCAUAAUAAUUUGUCUUUUAAUUGGAGGCUUGUAUGAAUGGUUGGACGAGAAGUAAUCUUUCUUAAUUUAAAUUAAAUUGAAUUUAAUAUUUUUGUAAAAAAGCUUAAAUGUAGUUGUGGGACGAGAAGACCCUUUAGAAUUUUAAUUAAAUUAGUAAUUUUUUAUUUUAGUGAAUAUUUUGUAAUAUUUUAUUAAUUUAAUUUUUGUUGGGGUGACAGUAAAAAUUUUUUAACUUUUAUUAUUAAAUUAAUCAUAAAUUAAUGUAUUAUUGAUCCUUUUUUUAAGAUUAAAAGAUUAAAUUACCUUAGGGAUAACAGCGUAAUUACUUUGGAGAGUUCUUAUCGAUAAAGUAGUUUGCGACC
rnacentral:rRNA from 1 species